CCGCAUACACCAUGUCGCCGAUCUCAAUUGGGUCGUGACUCCCACAUCCGAUCCCCACCCUUGAAUCGUUCCCGAGAGCGACGGAGGCGGCGGCGUACGGAACCACCGAAGGCGGCGGAGUCGGCCACGGCGAGCGGCAAGCCCAGACGUUGAGGUACGGACGACGACGACAACUGCUCGGUCGAGAUGGCGCCAGGCAUAGCUCUUCCCGUCCCCGAUGCCGCUGGCCGAGCCAGAGCCGGGAGCGGUGCCGGUGCCAAUGUGGAAGCCGCGACGCUUCUAGGGUCUCGGCGUGACGCACAGGUUGGUGGUGCCCGCGAAGAAGACCCGGCGUGGGCCGAGGUCGCGAAGCUCGCAGUAAGGGCGUCAUCUUCUACAGGAGUAUGGGCUAUUGGGCGUCGCACAUCUGCUUCUCGAUUUAAACAGGGAUUGCGUGAAGCAAGUCUACCUGGUGACUGCCCUGAGAGUUCCACACGUUCGAGCUCAUCUUCAAUGAAAUGUAUUUGAGUACGAGUGACCGUCCCAAUUUCCUUGUACUGCUAACAGUAUCUGGUAUUAUUUCACCUUCUUUUUUUCUACAAUAGUUCAGGUAAAUUUUACAUGGCAAAAUUACUGAAUUUGUGCAGCUCUGUCAAACUACAAGUAGGGACUACAAGAUACUUGACAUUUUCCUCCGUUGAAAUUUGACAGCUAAAUCAUUUUUCAGUUAAACAUUCUAAAUACUAUGAUGGUGAUGGUGAUGUUAUGUCAGUCAGUGAGGUUCCUCUAAACUGCUUUGACCAGUAUAUAUAUAUAUAUAUAUAUAUAUAUAUAUAUUUCCACCUCUAAAUGUUUUCUCAAAUAUUGUUAAUUGCUGCUAUGUAACUGUUUGAAACAAUAAUACAUUUGAGGGUCCUCUAAACUGCUAUAUAUUUCCACCUCUAAAUGUUAAACGCUUGGGAAUUAACUUUGAACUUAAAUGUGCCCCGUAGCGUUAGCACGGUUAUUAUACUAGUUUAGUUAGUGCGUCAAUAUAAGUUUGUGUGUUUUGACUAAUUUUGACUGAAUUGGUUGGAGCGUUGAUUGAAUUAGUUAUAAGCUGAACUAGACAAGCAGCCAUUGUUAGUCAUAUAGGUUAGUUUCAUAAUUACUAUUUAGCUCUUAAUUUAAUUGGUAUGUUGCCUCAGUGCAGCUACCAAGAGUAGUCAUGUGAUUUUGGUGACAAACAUUUUCUCUGUCAACAUGGCCACUCCCAAUCCUCGGUCGCCUUCUGCCUUUGCCCUCCAUCUUCUACCCCUGCAGCCACUGCCGAUCUCACCGUCCUCAGUGCAGGACACUGUAGGUGCAAGCUAGCAGAUUAACCAAUCCAUCACAACAAUGAUUUAGAUUUACUAUUUAUUUGUUUUCAAACAUUUUGGCAAGUUCCUAGACAAAUGAAUUGGUUAUUGGCAGUCAGAAAUAAAAUGUGUAAAAAAACUAAACAAGUAAUGGAAAGCCAUAGAGGAAUUUCUAUCUCAAUCUGCAUGUCUAUUCCAUUUUUCUUAUUUUUAACUUUCUUUUAUAUUGUUAUCAUGUCUGCUGCUCUGAGCUAUGCCAUAAUAUUGUUUAUUUUAACUCUACUCUGAACACAACUGAUGUUGCCUUGCUUUACUUAUCUUUGUAGUUCUAAAGCAGACCAGCACAUUGCCAGAUAAGCCAUCAGCUGCUACUGCUCCUUUGGUGUCGUGCUAACUCAACAGUGUUAUUUCAUCGAUGUGCUGACCUGUCAUUCAGUACAAAAAAGUCAUCAUCGUCAUCUUCUCCAAGAGUAGCAAAUGGAGGGAGGACUGCAUCAGCCGUAUAAGUGUCAUCUGGGUCUUCAUCUUCAUCGAACAGGUCAUCAUGCUCUGGUUCAAGCACGGCUGUUGCAAUGGCAUGUUGAAUAACAGAAGCAUCAACUGUAGCUCCAUCAAGGCCGGACCUACUCCAAGCCGUCACAUCCUCAUUUUGCUGCCCAACAUUCAUACCAUCCACUCCAACAACAACCGAGUCCAGAUCGAGCUCGCCCAUAGUAUUAGUACCAUCUCCUUCAGGCAUGGCAAAUAGGUUCCUAGGCUGCACUCUAAUGACACUGCACCAACCUGGUUUCUUUAGCUUUCUCACAUAAAAGACUUGCUCGGCCUGUGUGCUUAGGAUGUAAGGUUCAUUUAAAUACCUAAACCGAGUGGUAUCAAUUUCGAUGACCCCAUAUUUAUCCUUAU